UACGUAGGGGGCAAGCGUUGUCCGGAUUUAUUGGGCGUAAAGAGCGUGUAGGCGGCCAGGUAGGUCUGCUGUGAAAACUCGAGGCUUAACCUCGAGCUGUCGGCGGAAACCAUCUGGCUAGAGUCCGGAAGAGGAGAAUGGAAUUCCCGGUGUAGCGGUGAAAUGCGCAGAUAUCGGGAAGAACACCUAUGGCGAAGGCAGCUCUCUGGGACGGUA
rnacentral:rRNA from 1 species